UGGUGGAGUGAUUUGUCUGGUUAAUUCCGUUAACGAACGAGACCUUAGCCUACUAACUAGUCGGGGUACUAAUCUUGCAUUGACCUCCGACUUCUUAGAGGGACUUUGUACCAAAUACAAGGAAGUUUGAGGCAAUAACA
rnacentral:rRNA from 1 species